AACGAACGCUGGCGGCAGGCCUAACACAUGCAAGUCGAACGAAGUCUUCGGACUUAGUGGCGCACGGGUGAGUAACACGUGGGAAUAUACCUUACGCUGGGGGAUAACAUCGGGAAACUGAUGCUAAUACCGCAUACGCCCUUCGGGGGAAAGAUUUAUCGGCGAAAGAUUAGCCCGCGUCCGAUUAGCUAGUUGGUGAGGUAAUGGCUCACCAAGGCUCCGAUCGGUAGCUGGUCUGAGAGGAUGACCAGCCACACUGGGACUGAGACACGGCCCAGACUCCUACUGGAGGCAGCAGUGGGGAAUAUUGGACAAUGGGCGCAAGCCUGAUCCAGCCAUGCCGCGUGAGUGAUGAAGGCCUUAGGGUUGUAAAGCUCUUUCACCCACGACGAUGAUGACGGUAGUGGGAGAAGAAGCCCCGGCUAACUUCGUG
rnacentral:rRNA from 1 species